rnacentral:tRNA from 1 species
GCGCGUUAGCUCAGUUGGAAGAGCACAUGACUUUGACUCAUGGGGUCGGACGUUCGAGCCGUCCACGCGCUGCCA